AGCCCUGUGAAGGUGAGCAAAUCCCAAAAAUAACGUCCCAGUUCGGAUUGUAGUCUGCAACCCGACUACAUGAAGCUGGAAUCGCUAGUAAUCGCGGAUCAGAAUGCCGCGGUGAAUACGUUCCCGGGUCUUGUACACACCGCCCGUCACACCAUGGGAGCCGGAAAUGCCCGAAGCCGGUGACUCAACCUGCAAAGGAGAGAGCCGUCGAAGGCAGGUCUGAUAACUGGGGUGAAGUCGUAACAAGGUAAC
rnacentral:rRNA from 1 species